ensembl:lncRNA
UUUCAAAACCGACAGUGGAAAAUGCCUAACCCGUUUCUCCGCCUAAGAUCAUUCUUGAAGUUUUGGAUCCCCUGCAGAGCACAGCAAGGCUCCGGACUUUGUCCAGCGAGGAGUGACAGGUCUCGGGCCUCUUCCGUCCGCGGGAGGAAGCGGGGCUCCAGGCGGUGCGAGGACUGCGUGUGCCUUCCCCACACCCGCCCUCUGGGGACCUUGCCCCACAGCUUGGCUUUCCAGAGCUUUCUAGCCUACGGGGUCCCAGGGUCGGGACUGCAGGAGAGCCAGCUGGGACCUGACUGCAUCUGAAUCCCGCUGGGACCUGUUGGACCGCGCUUGUGUCGACGCAGUUCCACUCCCUUCACGCCAGGGGCGGCCUACGCGUCCCGAUGUAGAUCACUGCGUGCGUGCACGGAGGUGAAAUGUUUGAAAAAGCAGUUUCAGACUCUUCUUUGAAGAAGGAAGCAAAUGCCUAUGGUGACGAUGUUGAAGGGAGAAUGUUUCAUCCCGGGAUGUCCUACGCCUACUUACCGAUGGCUGUCUGAGAACAGCAAUUUACACUGGAUUUACACUGCAUUUGGUAUCACAAGUGGCCUGAAGGUUUAAAGUGUACAGGAGGGUGUGUGUGUUACACUCACUGUGCCGUUUUACAGAAGGAUCUUGUGUAUCCCCGAUUUUGGCAUCAGUGAGGGGUCCUGGAACACCCAUGCCUGUAUCUCAGCAUGCUGGGGAGGCUGAGUCAGGAGGAUUACAAGUUUCAGACCAGUCUAAGUAAUCUAGCAACCUAGUGAAACCC